rnacentral:piRNA from 1 species
UCGUUGUGCCCACUGUCGGAAGCGCU